rnacentral:lncRNA from 1 species
AAGGGUCCCAAUCAUCUUUUACCUCAAUCAUGUGGAUGCUCCAACCAUUAUGGUCUGUUAGGGGGUUGCUGCGAACAUUAGGGGCAGGCUCCUUAUCUACGAUGACCCUAUUGUCAAUUAAGGUCUGGAUUUUGUCCUUUAACGAGCAGCACUCGUCGAUGGUAUGGCCCUUCAUCCCCGAAUGGUAUGCUUAGGUUUUAUUUGGGUUAAUCCAUUGGGAAGGGUUCUCUGGGGUUAUGGCUGGGAUGGGUGUAACAUAUCCGGCGGUUUUGAUCUUCCCAUAGAGUUUGUCAAUGGGUUCAGCAAUACCAGUGUACUGUCUGGGUGGUUUGCGGUCAAAAUUUUGUCUUGGUCGCGGGAAGUUUUGACGGGUAGGUGGUGAUGGAUAGUGAGGAGGUUGGGGUGUGUAGGUUUGGUAUAGAGGUGUGGGCUGGAAAUAUCCUGGCGAGGUGGGUUGGUAUGUUGGUAGUGGAGAUGACUGGUAGAUGGGCGGUGGAUUUUGGUAAGUAGGUGAAGGUGCUUAUGGAAUAUCCUGGCGAGGUGGGUUGAUAUGAUGGUGUGGAUAUGACUGGUAAAUGGGCGGUGGAUUUUGGUAAGUAGGCGAAGGUCCUUGAUAAAUUAGGGAGGGUUGGUGUGUGAGUGGAGUUGGAGGGUAGGGUUGGUAUUUCAUGGCAGAAUGGUUUCUUUGCAUAGCCAUUACGGAGUUCACAUCCUUUUUCUUAAACGUACCACAAGAUUGCAAGGUUUUGUUGGUGGCCUGCAGUUCCUCAAGAUUGGUAACCAUACAAUUUUUUAUUCCCUCUUCAAUCCUUUCUCCUAGUUUGAUGAUAUCAGUGAACUUCUGCCCCUCUAUCAGCAUCAAUCUCUCGUAAUACUGUGGGUCCUGAGCACGAACGAAGAAUCUAUUCAUUUGUUCUUCUUCCAAAGCCGGCUUGGCUAUGGCAGCUUCCAACCUCCAACGACUAGCAUACUCGCGAAAGGUUUCAGUAGGCUUCUUCUUCGAAUUCUCAAUGUAGAACACAUCUCGAGCAUUCUUAGUGUUGGAUCUGAAACGGUCCAUGAAAUCGGACGCCAUGUUUACCCAGCUUGUCCACUUCUUCGCAUCUUGGCUGAUGUACCAAGAUAAAGCAUCCCCUCUCAAACUCCUCAUGAAUAGCUUCAUGCGGAUCUUCCCAUCCUUACCAACCCCCACUAAUUUGUCACAAUACAUCCUGAGGUGAACCCUGGGAUCACCCGUACCAUCAAAC